AUGGAGGAGCUGCUCGGCGCGGUGCCCAUGGGGGAGACGGUGCCGUGGCUGCGGUGGGUGGACACGGUGACGGGGCUGGAGCGGAGGGCGAGGCGCGUCUUCGAGGAGAUGGACGGGCUGCUGGAGCGGGUCAUCGCCGACCACCGCCAGCGACGCCGUGCCGCCGCCGCCGCCACCGGGGACGAGGACGAGGAAGACUUCGUGGACGUGAUGCUGGACGCCGACGAGCUGGACACGGACAGCAUCAAGUCCAUCAUCCUGGACGUGCUCGCCGCCGCCACGGCAACGACCUUCGCGCUGCUCGAGUGGGCCAUGGCGGAGCUCAUCAACCACCCGCACGAGAUGCGCAGGCUCCAGGCCGAGGUCCGCGCGGCCGUCGCCCCCGGCGCCGCCGUCACGGAGGCCCAUCUCCCGCGCCUCCCCUACCUGAGGGCCGUGAUCAACGAGACCCUGCGGCUCCACCCGCCGUCGCCGCUGCUGCUGCCGCGGGAGACGCUGGAGGACACCCGGCUGCUGGGCCACGACGUGCCGGCGGGCACCCGGGUCCUGAUCAACGCCUGGGCCAUCGGCCGCGACCCGGCGACGUGGGGGCCCCGCGCCGAGGAGUUCGCGCCGGAGAGGUUCGUCGGGUACGGCGGCCUCGGCGGUGCCGGGCAGGACUUCUCGUUCCUGCCCUUCGGCGCCGGGAGGAGGGGCUGCCCCGGGGUGGAGUUCGCCAUGCUGUCCAACGAGCUGGCGCUGGCGAGCCUCGUGCAUGGCUUCGACUGGGAGCUGCCCGGCGGGAGGGCGCCGCCGGUGGGCAUGAGCGAGCUGUACGGCCUCUCCGUGUGCCUCAAGGCGCCUCUGCUUCUGGUCGCCAAGCCGUGGUCGUGCAUGGAUAUGGAUGGCGUUGAAUGA
rnacentral:rRNA from 1 species